rnacentral:rRNA from 1 species
UACGAAGAGGGCGAGCGUUGUUCGGAUUUACUGGGCGUAAAGGGCGCGCAGGCGGCAGACCAAGUCAGGCGUGAAAGCCCCGGGCUUAACCUGGGAGGUGCGUCUGGGACUGGUAUGCUAGAGUUCGGGAGAGGAGAGUGGAAUUCCCAGUGUAGAGGUGAAAUUCGUAGAUAUUGGGAAGAACACCGGUGGCGAAGGCGGCUCUCUGGACCGAGACUGACGCUGAGGCGCGAAAGCGUGGGGAGCAAACAGG